rnacentral:rRNA from 1 species
GUUGAAGGUUGGGUAACACUAACUGGAGGACCGAACCGACUAAUGUUGAAAAAUUAGCGGAUGACUUGUGGCUGGGGGUGAAAGGCCAAUCAAACCGGGAGAUAGCUGGUUCUCCCCGAAAGCUAUUUAGGUAGCGCCUCGUGAAUUCAUCUCCGGGGGUAGAGCACUGUUUCGGCAAGGGGGUCAUCCCGACUUACCAACCCGAUGCAAACUGCGAAUACCGGAGAAUGUUAUCACGGGAGACACACGGCGGGUGCUAACGUCCGUCGUGAAGAGGGAAACAACCCAGACCGCCAGCUAAGGUCCCAAAGUCAUGGUUAAGUGGGAAACGAUGUGGGAAGGCCCAGACAGCCAGGAUGUUGGCUUAGAAGCAGCCAUCAUUUAAAGAAAGCGUAAUAGCUCACUGGUCGAGUCGGCCUGCGCGGAAGAUGUAACGGGGCUAAACCAUGCACCGAAGCUGCGGCAGCGACGCUGAUGCGUUGUUGGGUAGGGGAGCGUUCUGUAAGCCUGCGAAGGUGUGCUGUGAGGCAUGCUGGAGGUAUCAGAAGUGCGAAUGCUGACAUAAGUAACGAUAAAGCGGGUGAAAAGCCCGCUCGCCGGAAGACCAAGGGUUCCUGUCCAACGUUAAUCGGGGCAGGGUGAGUCGACCCCUAAGGCGAGGCCGAAAGGCGUAGUCGAUGGGAAACAGGUUAAUAUUCCUGUACUUGG